CAGUCGCCGCGGGAAUACGUAGGUGGCAAGCGUUGUCCGGAAUUAUUGGGCGUAAGGGGCUCGCAGGCGGUUUCUUAAGUCUGAUGUGAAAGCCCCCGGCUCAACCGGGGAGGGUCAUUGGAAACUGGGAAACUUGAGUGCAGAAGAGGAGAGUGGAAUUCCACGUGUAGCGGUGAAAUGCGUAGAGAUGUGGAGGAACACCAGUGGCGAAGGCGACUCUCUGGUCUGUAACUGACGCUGAGGAGCGAAAGCGUGGGGAGCGAACAGGAUUAGAUACCCGCGUAGUCCCUGUCUCUUAUAC
rnacentral:rRNA from 1 species